AGAUUUGCAAAUCAGUUUGUUGCAUCCUUUAUUACGGCAAGAAAUUCCACUGCCACACAUGGGCACCUUUCUCCACCAGCUCGAAGAUGGAGAGCUCGGUUGCAUCUCACCUGAAGAUGCAUUUGAAGGGUUUAUUCAGAGAGUUGCAAUGUCUUGUAAACUACAUCCAAGUAAAAACAAUGGUAUGUAUUCGUCAAACCCGAUUGUUAUGGCCAUUUACGGUAGACGCAGAUAUUUGGCCUAUGCUAGAUUAACAGACAAAGUGUGGACUGAAGUUCUCUUCCCCAUUAUGGCCCCCUUUAUAGAGGAUAUCGCUUACUAUAAAGGAAAAUUUUAUGCCCUCAAUGGCAGGGGAGAUCUAUUUGUGUGUGAUAUAGCCAAGGGAACAAAAAUUUAUUCCUGGCCAACUGACCUUGAUAUUGUCAUGCAUUAUAACAAUUCAAGAACCUACUUGGUUGAAUCAGAAUUUGGUUUCUGGUUAGUUGUGCGCAAAUUCAAAGAAAAAUAUUUUAAAGCACCUCAUGGGGCAAGAGCAAAAUACCGUACAUGUAACUUCACAUUAUGGAAGAUGGAACUGAAAUAUUCUGAUCAUCACUCUGAAUUACCUUCAUGUACCUGCAUUGCAGAGAAUAACUUGGGCGACCAGGCAUUAUUCAUCGGCAGAGCUACAUGUCUAUUGCUUCCAUCUUCAGAAUACAUAAGGCCUAACUGCAUCUACUUCACAGAUGACAACCUGGAUCAGUCUUAUCACGUAGGAGGGGGACAUGAUAUGGGAAUUUUCAACAUGGAAACUAACACCAUAGAACCUUUUUAUCAAGGAAAAUCUAUACAUCCCAUCUCCCCCCCACUCUGGUAUAUUUGAAUUUGUAUAAAUUUUCUGGGAGCCAACCAUCAUCAUCUCCUUUACUAUUUUCUUGACUAUAUACAUAUAUGUUCCUUCAUUAUAUAUUUUUCAAUGUCUAUCUGAUUUAUCGUGAAUCUUGUUUUCUGCGAUUUCUCUGCUAUAUUCUGUUUGUACAUUUAUAAACUCAAUUAGAUUUUUAAGACAAACACUAAAUCACAAUCCCUAACUAAAGUACUUAUCUAGGUUCAUUACUUGUAUGUUCUCUGACGGGCAUAGCUUACUUCUCAUUGAGUAAAUCCAUGCUUAGAAAAAUUACGUGCAAGACUUUCUCUUGUUCUCCUCUUAGAUACACAUAGACAACACAAAAAGUUUCUUACCCGCAGGAAUUCCCAUCUGAGUGAAGUGGCUUAAGGAUGACUCCAUGGAUCCUGAUCUAGGUUCACUGAGCAACCUAAUAAUACUAAUAAUGAACCUAGAUUAGGAUCCAACAAGUCGUCAUUAAGCGACUGCACUCAGCAUUCCCACAUAUACAGUGAUACUUAAUUAAUGAUAGCGUACGUAUUGAACUCUGAUGUUCCUCUCUGUUACCUUGGAAGCAUCAUCGGUGUCCAAAUUCCCAGUUCUCAUAUAUGUUAUAUGUUAUGAAAUAUUACAUAUUAUUAGACUUACCAUUAAAUGCAGCUCAUAAAAUUAAAAUGCUUAUAUUAUUGUAAUUUUUUUAAAAUACUUUAAAUUUCAUAACUUGGCGUAUUCUUUAAUAUAUAAGAAAAAGUUCUAAUUUAAAUAUACUAUCAAUGGCUUAGGACAUAAGAUCUUAUGAUACCUCCAUCCAAAGAAACCCCAUGCCCCAUGGUGUAUGCAAGACUUU
rnacentral:lncRNA from 1 species